AUUUCUUUUUUGAAACCUCUAAAAGGAAUGAUAGGUUUCAAUGUUUUCCUUUCUGUUUCUUCAUUUCCUUGGAUCCAAAGACAAAUAGUCCUUAGUGUGGUAUAUACGAGAUUGACAACUAUUGAUCCUAAUAGACUAGCACAUUUACUUGUGAAGUAAAAAUCAAUUAUAGGGAAGUGGCAGUGAGGGUUAGAGCCAUGUUUUUCCAUAUGUUGUUUCUUAUGAAUACCUUACUGUAAAUUUUCUAGAGGAAUUCGUCAGGGAUGAUGACAUUGGUUAUAUUUCAUCUCCGCUUUCCUUUUUAUUCUUUAUUAUACUAAACUUUUUAUGGAUAACCUAACUGUUCAAGUAGAGGUGUUCAAGUUUUUAAUUUUCAUUGGCAGGGGAUCUACCCUAUUGUAUAUAGAUCUGUUGUUACAAUUUUUUGGUUUCUGUUAUCGAUGAACUUCAAUUCCUUAAGGCUUCUAUUCACAAAUGCAGAAAGCCAGAAACCAUUCAAGUUUGAUUAGUAGACACUUGUUCAGAGGGAAUAUACAAGUCACUCAUGCAAUGUGAUGUAGAUGAAUCUUUUUCUUUUGUGAGGUUAUCAUGGUCAUUGGCUCUGUCUCUUAGAUCCGAUCAAAUUGACCAUGUAUAUUGACAAUGAUAUUGGCAACAUUUUCCUUCUACUCUGGAGGAAAAGAUUUCCAAGCUGAAUCGGGCUAAAUCCAUAGAGGGGGACAAAAAUCAUCAAUUAGGCUGCAACAAGAUUACGGGAAGUCCGAGUACCCCAAAUCUAACCAAAGGAGUAUGGUGAAAUCCUAAGUGUGGGGUCCUCUAACCUCCAUGAUGGAAAUUUGAGAAAGUGACAAGCUACAAGCUAGGCCUAAAGACCUCAUGGAGUAUUUCUAAACUUUUUCUUUGAUUUAUAUUUCGGGGACUAUAUAAUCUUUCAAUUUUCUAGGGUUAAGUGUGCUAUAAUAUUUUCAUUUUAAUCUAUUGCUCUAUAGGGUUAUCAUUUGAUUUAUUUUCUAGUAUUUUAUUGAAUUCAAAAGUUACAAUUUUUUUUUAUCUUAGUUAAUUUUCAAUUUUUUUUGGUGUCUGUUUAGUAGAAGCACACUUCACUCACCCCUUGAUUUUUCUUUUUCAUUCUUUUUCAAGGGAAAACCCUUCGAAUCCAGUAUCCUUUUUUAUUUUUAGGAGUAAGCUUUUAUUAGGAACAUAUAGAGAUCCUCUAACUAGGUGCGACACAUUAGUUCUUAUUACAAGUGAUGUUAAAUUCUAUGGAAUAAUGUGAAAGUUGAAUAACUGUGAGGCACCUAGGAUCUUUUAUCCGAGUCUUGUGUGAUUUUUGUUUAAAUUUUAAUUCUUGCAAUUGCUUGAUUGAGAGUCUAUAGGGAUCUGUCUUGAUUUGAAUAUGUGUCAUGAGUGUUGAGGUUUUUGCUAUAUUCCAUAUUUGUAAACUAAUGUCUAGAACUUCCUCCGGUGUUUGCAAAUCGAAAUAAAGAAUGUUGGGUUUAGGAGAUAAUAUAGGAAUUUCCUUGAUAGCCAUGUUUGAUAUCUGUUUUAUCUACCCUUUCUACAUGACCUUAAUUAGCCAUGUUGAGCCUUUAGCCUAUUCUUUGGUAGCCUCAUAUGUAGCUUAUUCCUUUUAUUUCAAUUGACUGUAAUUUAAUCCAAAAUUCUAAGAUCUUUGGUUGAAAAGUUUAGAUGCUAAAGAGUGUAAAAUUGAAGAAGAAAAAAGUGAAAGUGAAGCCCAAGCUAUUAGCUAUCAGUGUGUUGAAAAAGUCUAUGUAUUGUGGUUGGGAGUAAUGUAAUGAAAAGAAAAAUUGAUCAAUAGAAUUUCAUCAUGUGUAGAUAGAAAGUACUCCCUACUAAAGAUGUAUAAGCUAGAUUAAAGAGAUUGGGCAAACUAAAAGAGAGGUGGAAAGAUAAAAGUGGUGAAGAAUAGGAUAGUUAGAGAUGCAUUCAAUGUAAAAUGUACUAUAUUAAAGUUCUUAGGGAAGAUAGUCACAUUUACUUUCUAGAAUAGUUUCUACCCAUCCCUUAGUCUACAUUACAACCCAUUUAGUCAACUUGAUCUUAAACUUUGAUAUUUUGAUAUUUGUGGCAUACCACACUAAGAGAAACAUAUGGUUUAUCUUAUGUGACACAAUAAUUGCUUGUGAAAGUGAUCGAAAUUUGAUUCUUAUGCCCAUUUUUGUGAUAAAGUGUAUUUUUAUGAGUGAAUAUGGGUGGAACUCUUGUGGUGAGGACACAAGUUUAAUGAUGGAUAUGUGAAUUAUAUUAUCUCUUGGUUGAGUAAUAUGUAUCCGUUUGCCACAUAGUAGAGUAAAUUCUUGAUGCUAGGAAGUCUUAAAGUAGUUUCAUGCGAUUUCAAUUGGAAUAUGACUUGCCAAAUACAAGAAUUUCUAUUCAUGUAGUUAAUGUAGUUCUAGCUUGAGUGUCUUAGUUUAAAUAGUGGUGUUAGAGUUGUGAUUUACUUUAUUAGUGUAAAGAGUUGUUCAAAUACAAACAAUGCUUUGAGUGUGGGGUGGUGAUCUUGCGCAUAUUUAUUCACCCAAGUGUCAUUAUCUAUGAGCCUCUAUCUUAGUUUGGAGGAUAAAUUUAUAUGAUUAAUGAAGAAUAAAGUGUGUUUUUGUUUAUUUAUGUGUUAGUUUUCAUGUUUAUAGUGUUUAAGGUGCAUUUGAAACAAUUCAAGAGUCAAACGAAUUAAAUAGAGUUUAAACGAGAAAACUAGCUAGGUUAGCCUAUGCUAUGAUUGUUUUAGUGUACUUUGAUGAGCUCAAUUGUGUUGUAUUGACUAAUUUUUGUUAUGAGUUGUUGUAGGAUAGAAAUUUAGGAGAUAUGAAAUCUAAAUAAAGCCUUCAAACAAUCCACGAGGAGUAGAGAAACAAGUAACACAUAGACAAGAAGAAGAGAACAAAGAUUGACCAAAAUUGCACCGUGAGGGGGCACCCUUGCGCCGCACCCCCAUGGAAUGGGGAUUUAAGGUAAACUCCAUAGGUAUAAUAAAUACUAUUUGGUCUAUUCUAUAUCCUUGUUUCGUACAUCAUUAGCCAUGCAAUAGGCUGUGCGAUGCAACCUCCCCUAGCCCAUCAAAAAUAGGUUUUAACUUGGUUUAAAUUGAGGAUAAAGUGGUAAAUGCUUAUGAUUUGUUUGGGUACACCAACGGAGUACAUAAUGGACUAUAUAAGGAGUACUUAGGCACCUUAACAAUAAAUCUUUGGAAUAGUAGAUAUUUGGAAAGGAGAUAUGGAAACAAGGGCUCUAAUUUAGGAUUUUUCUUCUUUAUACUUUUAGUUUUCUUGUAGUUUUACUUUUGAAUUCAUUCAUGGUGAUUCUUUGUAGGGAUAUGGUUGGAUAAAUACAAUAGUUUUAGGGUUUAGGCUAUUAGCAUGAUUUCUUAUCUUAACAUUCAAGUUGGUUAAAGUUGAUUAUUAUUUUUGGUUGUUCUUAAGUUCAUGUACUUACUAUUCUAUUAAUUCACUACCUUUAGAAUACAUCUUGAUUUCUUUUGAGAGUAUGGAAUGAGUAACACCAGAUUAGAAUAUGGAGCAUAUGGAAUGAUUUCUUGCCUUUUAGAUGAUUUAAAAACUAGAUUCACAUUUAGGAUAGGAAUAUACCUAAUAUGUCCCAUUUGGAUCAAAUACGAGAUAAAGUAUAAAUGCCUUUGAUAUAGUUUUCACAUAUCCAAUCAAUGAUGUAAUUGUGAGACUAAUUUAAAUAGACUAUUAGAGUCUCAGAAUACUAUAAUGAUGAUAUGAACCUUAGGAAUCAACAACUAAGAUAGUCAACUUAACCAACAACGUUGUGUAGAUUUACAUGAUUAUUCAAGAUGCCUUGACCCUAGUACCUUCCUUGAUAUUGUUUCAGUUCAUCAUCAUUAGUAUAGUUUACUAUUUUGUUUUAAAUUUUAAACUUCAUACAUCCUUAGUUCUAUAACUUGAAUAAAUAAAAAGAAUUGGUUUGGUGUAAGUUAAUAGUUAAACGACAAGUCCCUGUCGGUUUUACAUCUAGUUCACAAGAGCCAAUAUAUUACAUGCAUGACCAUAUACACUUGUGUGUGUGGUUGGACGUCAUAAAAGCUUUUUGUGCCGAUGUCAUGGACUUCAACGUUAAUUGUUUAUCAAGAGUAGACUUUUUCUUUUAUCUGGUUGAGUUGUGUAUAGUUUAUUUUUGUACAAAGUUUUGUUUACUUUUAGAAUACACCAAUAUUUCUUUAUGAACCCAAAAGUAGUAAAAUUAGAUUAGAAUGUGGAUCAUAAGGAAUGAGUUCUUGUCUUUUAGAUGAGUUAAAUAUUUGAUUCCUGGUUCGGAUAGGAUUACCUAAUUUACCUUAGUUGGAUGAAAUACCGAUGAAAUAUAAAUGCAUUUGAAUUAGUUUUCACAUCCCCGAUCAAUGAUGUAGCUGUGAGGCUAAUUUAAAUCAACUAUUCGAGGUUAAGAAGACUAUAAUUAUGAUAUUAACCUUGGGAAUUAAUAACUAAGAUAGUUAACUUAACUAAUGCAAUUAUGUAGAAUUACAAGAUUGUUAAAGAUGCCUUGACCCUACUAUCCUCCUCGAUAUUGUUUCAACCCCAAGUUUAUCCUUAUUUGUAUCGUUUGUUGUUUAGUUUUAUCUUUUAAACUUCAUGCAUCUUUAGUUUUAUUGUUGAAUAAAUAAAAAAAUUGGUUUGGUAUAAGUAAAUAGUUUAACAAAAAGUCCCUAUGGGUUUCAAUAUUCGGCUCGUAAGAUCCACUUUACUACUUGCAUGACCACAUAUGCUUACGUAUGUAAUUGGAUGUUGCAUAAAUUUUUGGCACCGCUGCUAGGGACUUCAACGUUAAUUGUUUAUCUAGAUUAAACUUCUUCAUUUUAUUUGUUUAAGCUGUAUAUAGUUUAUUUUUAUACAAAGUUUUAUUAUACUCGAUCUUGGGCAUAUUUAUAUGUCCAAGCACCAAUAUUCACCCAUGAUAAUCAUAGUUCUAUGAGCUAAAAUGUGUAUUUUUAUUGUUUUUGGUGUGCAAUUGCAUGAUUAGACCUAUUGGAUGUGAUUAGUAAUGCUGCAUGGAUUGUUGAUGAGUUUUGGCUCAAGUGGAUGCAUGACGGGAGGAAAGUGAUGAUCGAUGCAUGCAUAUUGGUUAUAUUGAGUAGAGAGGACACUGACAAUGAGUUGGAAAUCGUGUUUGGAAGGCUGGAGAAAGUAGCAGAACAACUAGCUAAGGAGCAAGUGUUCUAUACCUUAGUGAAAUAUUUGGAUGCAAUUUCCAGUAAGAGCGGGCGAUUAGCCCAUGACGCAAGCCCUAGACUGAGGGAUCUUUGCAUUAGUAAAAUUUUUGAAGACAACUUUCAGUAAGACGACCGAUUAGCCAGCAAUGCGGGCCUUACAGUGGCGGACUAAUACGGGCGACACGGGCCUCUAGCCAGCAAUGCAGGCCUUACAGUGGCGGACUAAUAUGGGCGACACGGGCCUCAAUCCAAUGGGAUAUAGCGGGCAAUGCAGGUUCUACCAUGAUUUAAUAACUCCCGCGACAUGGGGGUAUUUCAGCACAUGCAAAACUAAUCCUAGUAUAAAAACCAACACUUAAACUCAAUUGGAAUAGUUUGGAAUGGAAAAUAGAGGCAAAAACACUUUCAAAACCACUCUUAGGGUUCUUUAAACUUAUUCAUUAAAAGGAUUACUUCGUGGUAUGUUUAAGUACUUGUUUUUGAUGUUGAAUUCAAACAUGAGCGGCUAAACUCCUUUAUUCUGGGGUUGAGGUCGAAAACAUGAUUGUACUUUGAUAUUCUCUAUCGUAGUUUAUUAUUGGAUUAUCGUAGAGUUUGUUCUUAAUCUUUUGUGCUUACUAUUUUGAUGAGUGGCCACUAUUAGAAUAGACCUUUAAUCCUGUAUGAAUUUGGGAGGAGAAUCAUAGGAUAGAACGAAGAGAUUAAGGUUCAAGGCUCUCAUUUUUUAUAAAAUAAGAAAUUUGAAUUAGCAUCUAGGAUAGGGAUAUACCCAGAAGCCUUGCUUGGUUCACUUACAGGAGGAUAGCUUCAUGUAUCUAGUUUGAUUAUUGCAUCCCCACUCAAUGAUGCAUUUGUAAUGUCUAGUUAGGUAGAAUAUUAGAGGUCAGGAGACUAUAAUCUCAUUAUAAACCCUGUGAAUCAAUAAACUGAUAAUAAACUAAACUAUGAUAGGAAUAGAGAUUUGUAAGAUUGUUAGAAGGUGUCUCAAUCCUGGAAUUCUAACUAUUAUUGACUACAACCCUACUUACAUUGCUUUUAUUGCAUUUUGUAAUUUCUUUAUUAAUUAUACUUUUACUUAAAACUUCUUAAUCAUCUUGAUACUUGUAAACACUUAUUACAUUCUUGUUAAAACUAAUGUUUGUUGAAUUUCUAGUUGCAUAGUCUUCAUGGGUACGAUAUUUGACUAUUCUAGUCACUAUAUUACUUGUAUGAUCACGUGCACUUAUGUGUGUGUUAGACCGCAACAAGUUUUUGGCGUCGUUCUCGGGGACUAUUAUAAUUAGUAAUUUUAUAAUUUUUUGGAUUUUGAUAAUUUGUUUAAGUGUUAACGACUUGAUCUUAGUGUCUGACUUUUGUAGGAUUAGCUGAAUAUUGACUGGCUUGAGAUACAGAGUUGGUGGAGCCUUAUUCGGAACCAGAACUGGUAUUUCAACAAAGGUGAAGAGCUGAUUAUCCAAUUCAGCAGGUUUAAAUGGCAGAACAAAGAAAUCCUAAUCUUGUUGAUCCAAUUGGUCUAGUUGAUCCAAAUGACGGACUUGUUCUAGGUCUGGUGAUUCCAAUUACUCCUGCUCAAGAAGCUGCUCGACCUAUUUGUGAAGUGGCAAUCCUACUCUUGAACCAUGUCACUAAUAGCAUCUACAAGACAGAGCCAGGUGGUCUAUUAAAAUUAAAACAAAAUAUGGUGCAGUUGCUGAAUUCGGCCAGGCAAUUUGUUGGAUUUUCACAUGAUGACCCAAAAUAGCACAUACAAACCUUCCUGGAAAUUAGCGAUAUGUAUAUUCCUGUAGGGGUGUCUACUGAUUAUGUUAGAUUAACUCUCUUCCCCUUUUCUUUAAUUAAGGAA